rnacentral:rRNA from 1 species
CCUACGGGUGGCAGCAGUGGGGAAUAGUGCACAAUGGGGGAAACCCUGAUGCAGCGACGCCGCGUGAGUGAAGAAGUAUUUCGGUACGUAAAGCUCUAUCAGCAGGGAAGAAAAUGACGGUACCUGACUAAGAAGCCCCGGCGAACGACGUGCCAGCAGCCGCGGUAAUACGUAGGGGGCAAGCGUUAUCCGGAUUUACUGGGGGUAAAGGGAGCGUAGACGGCAGCGCAAGUCUGGAGUGAAAUCCCAUGGCUUACCCCUGGAACUGCUUUGGAAACUGUGCAGCUAGAGUGCAGGAGAGGUAAGCGGCAUUCCUAGUGUAGCGGUGAAAUGCGUAGAUAUUAUGAGGAACCCCAGUGGCGCAGGCGGCUUACUGGACUGUAACUGACGUUGAGGCUCGAAAGCGUGGGGAGCAAACAGGAUUAGAUACCCUAGUAGUC